CUUUUCCCAACCCCGCUCCCCCUCCUCCUCUUGACGCUCGGGGGUGUGAGAGAACCCAGUUAGACGCGAAAUGCAACAAUAGUCCGAGGAGAGAGAGGGGCGAUCGCUGCUUCUCGCCACUUUCAAACAAACCUGGGGGAAGACGGAGCUGGGGGGGAUUCUAGCCUGUUCGCUUGGCUCGCGAUCUCCCUGCCUCGGCCUUUCACCAUUAGUUCUCUCUGGGCCGCGAGGGGCUGGGGCUCAAAGUUAGCGGGCGAAGUCCGGGGCUGGUUCCGCGGAGACGGCUGGGGUAGCAUCCGGCCGGCUGCAGGGACGGGGCCCUCGAGUUGGCAGCGGCUGCGGAAAAGUGCCUGCCCCCCCAGCCCCCGCCCCCACUUACGUGCGGCGGAAUUCCGCCAGCGCCCCCGGAAAGUCCGGGGUGCCGGGCGCGCGGAGCUGCACUCUUGGGAUGUGCAUUAAGCGGCGACCGGCGGAGGGCGGGGGCGGGGGGCGGUCAGGGGGAGCUCGAGCGUGUGAAACUCUGCCUCGAAGCUCGCUUUUGACUUGGUCCUAUGAGCUGAGCCAACAUGGCGUCUCCCAUUGCACCGCGAGCGCCGGGCUGCCAGGCACGGCAGGGCCGGGUAAUAGAAAACACAUUGGUUACCCAAAAAGAAAAAAAGGGGGGGGGGGUGCUAAAGGCCAUUCCAUCUGCAGACAGAAAACCCUCUUUUAAACUCUUGCUGGCUAGUGAGUGCGGUCCUCGAUUAUUCUGUAAUUAAAGCAGUAGAAUUUGCAGGGAAAAUACUGGUAACGCAGCAUCCCCUUCUCUCUUCGCCCACCACCCCCCUUAUAAUCAGGAGAGUUUAUUUCAUGUCUCCUCUCCCAACAAGAACCAAAUCAGAAAAAGCAUAAGUCUGUAUCCUCAAACGAUCUCAAAUGUUUGAACGGUAUAGGGGGAGGGGGAGAGGCCAGUAUUUACAGACCUCGGUCGGGCAGUUCUCGCGCUCAUUAAGGCAGGGGCUGCGCCGGGUGUGCGGGGGGUUUGCGCCGCCGCCGGGCCGAGCUGGGGGUGGGGGCCGGGCUGCGGACCCGGUCGGACGUGGGCAGAACUUGCUGCCUGCGUGUCAAAGUUAUAGGAAAGGUGGCUUUCGGAGCGGAGGGCUGACUGAGGACGCACAGGGGCAGAGGGCUGGUUCUGGGCGGGUGGUCCCAGGCCCUAGAAAUGGGCGAGCCUGCGUGGACGGCGCCCCUGACAGGAGCGCGCCUGCAGCGGAGGCUCCCCUUUCUCUUAUAGGUUUCAGAGUAGGCGAGGCCGACCAUGGGACAGACCUGGCCUCCCAGAGAGGGUCUUCCGAGGGCCUCUGGAGAGGCCGUGGAUUGGCCCAGGCCGAGCUCUCAGCAGUCGGGGGAAUUGCCCCUUCCGUCCAAUUCCAGCCUCAGCCCGGGCCUGGAGACCCCUACCCUCUGCCGCCUGGGAGGGGACUCUGAAUUCCCGGCCUCGUCAAGAUUUAUUGAAGUUGGGUUUAAAAAACGUGCUUCAGAUGAUUUUUCCCAUUUUCUCAGAUUUCAAAGGCUCCCUGCAGUGCGGCUGCCUAAUUAAUGGUGAAAUUCAACUAAAUCUAAUUAUGCAGUAAUUUUAAAGCAGUUAGUGCUGGGCGUUGGUUUGUAAUAGGACCCCAGUUUUUUAAAGUUUGCUUACUGUGUUGGUUUAGGGGAAAGCCAUCUUUUGUAUGGCAGAGAAAGACGGGGAAAUAGUUUUGCUGCGAGAACCAGCCGGCUGAGGACCGCCCCCCCCCCCCAUCUCCAUCCCCACUUCUAUCUCCUUUCCCUUCUCCCUCUCUUUUGCUCUUCCAAGCUCACGCUCAAAAGCUGAGCGAGGUGCUAACCCAGCAAGGAGACCCAGUUGCAUAGCCAAAGGGGAAAGGGAGAAUUUUUCAUAAAGAGACACAAAGAGGCUUGGUAUCUGCUCUCCUGGACUUAUCUGUAAAUGUCCGAAAAUAGGGAGGGGACUCUCAUCUCCUCUAAUAGAGAACAGAUUUCCACCCUUAACAUCCAUUGUCAUUAAGGCGAAAAGCUGACUCUUGGAGUUAUAAAUCUUAUCGUCCUUCUGAUAACACACUUGUAAUAAGUUAGCGUCCUAUUCAAAGUGAAUUGUAAAACUGCCUCAUUUAAUAUGGCAUCUGUGUCAUUAAAACUUUUAUUUUUUUCCCCCCUCGCGUCUUGCAGGCCUGGCAUUCGGGCGAGCGCAGAGGUGCUUAUUGGACCUCUGGGGUAGGGCCAAGGGGGAGAAAGGUGUGAGGGAUGGGCUGCCGAGAUUGAGCCUCUGGAUCUUAGUCUGGAGUGAGAGACCCCUGAGGUAGAAAGGGCCUGGGUGGGGGGAGGCUGUGUCCCCCUUUCCCAACACCCCCCCCCCCCGUGGCCCCCUCGAAAUGACGUUCCUUGAAAGAAACAUGCUUGUGAUUAGCUAAGCAAACACAUCUGCUUUCGGAGUUGGGCCUUCGUUAAUUAGCUGAACAAAGGGCCGUUUUGCUUUUUACCUUUUGCUAGGGGAGAGUGUUAUUUCAGGAGUGUCGCGGGCCCUCCUCUUUUCAAUUGCAGCCACGACGUUAAUUUUAUUGGGAUUACUGAUGGGAAAUGAGGUGGCGCAGGCUUCCGAGAGGAAAAGCUUGAUCAUUACCCCCUUUGGAACUAUAUUUUUCCACCCAACCUCCUGCUCGCGAGGAGGGGGCGGGGGGCGAACCGCGCAGCAAGUUCGGAGCAAUUGGAAUCAGGCUCGCGGUACGCUGAUCUCGGGUGACAGAGCGUGUGUUGAAGCUGAACUCUAUAAUUUGCGCUUCUGUUCCUUUAUUAGGCCUGGACAACGAACUAAUGAGCUUUGGCCCAGCACAGUGUCACUUGUAUUUAUUUUCUUAUGGCAACUUUGAGAUAGCGGAAGUGUUCCUUACCAAGAGCCAGGGAGGCCCAGGAGUCCUGACCGCUGCUGUCCCGGCCCGGGUCGGUGGCCGCAUCCCGGGGGAGGGAGGGCGCGCGCAGAACUGACGGAGUCUGGGGACUGGGCCUAUAGGCAAGGCCCUGGGGCGCUCAGGAAGGCGUUAGGCCCUUUGGAGGCCCAGGCCUUUCUGCAGGCCCAACUCCCUGAGGUUGAGGUCGAGGGGUGCAGGGCAAGCCCAAGCCCA
ensembl:lncRNA